GGAAUGAGCCACCAUGCCUGGCCUGGAUAUUUCUUCCAUAAAUAUAUUGACUUUUUUGAGACUUGUGACGAUUUGAAGAAACCUACAUACAAACUGCAUAGCCUAGAAAUAUUGAAAAAAUUAAGAAAAAAGAUAGAUAUGUCAUAAAUGCAUAAAAUAUGAGUAGAUACUGGCUGGGCACCAUGGCUCACUUGGGAGGCCGAGGUGGGUGGAUCACGAAGUCAGGAGAUUGAGACCAUCCUGGCUCACACAGUGAAACCCCAUCUCUACUAAAAAUACAAAAAAAAAAAAAAAUUAGCCAGGCGUGCUGGCAGGCCCCUGUAGUCCCACCUACUUGGAAGGCUGAGUCAGGAGAAUGGUGUGAACCCGGGAGGUGGAGGUUGCAGUGAGCCGAGAUCACACCACUGCUCUCCAGCCUGGGCAACAGAGCAAGACUCCAUCUCAAAAAAAAAAUAUAUAUAUAUAUGAGUAGAUACUGUUGCAUUUAUAUGUUAAUUGACUCUUCAUCUUAUCAGUAAGGCCUCUGGUCAAUGAUAGGAUAUUAAUAAUUAAGUUUGGGGGAGUCAAAACUUACAUAUGACGUUUUUACUGCACAGAGGUUGGCACUCCUAACCCCCACAUUGGUCAAGAUACUUUAUUUCACUUAGUAUUUUAAAGUUAAUUCUAUACGUCUCUUCUUCAGUAAAGCCUUGCAAAUAGAGAGUUGUGUUUCCCUAACAGAUGACCUCCUUCCUUCUUUUUUGAAAUAAUAACCACAGUGCCAUCAUAACCAUACAUGAAGUUGAAGCAUUCUUAAAGUGAAUACCCAUUCCACAUUCACAUUCCCUUGAUUGUCUCAAAACAACGUUGUUUUUUUUUUUUUUUUUGCUUUUGAAACAGGGUCUUGCUUUGUUGCCCAAGCUGGAAUGCAGUGGUGCAAUUAUGGCUCACUGCAGCCUGGAUUUCCUGGGCUCAAGAGAGUCUUCCAUCUCAGCCUCCCGAGUAGCUGGUAUCACAAGCACCCGCCACCACGCCUGGCUAAUUUUUAAAUUUUUUUGUAGAGAGAGUCUCACUUUGUUGCCCAGGCUGGUCUCGAACUCCCGGCUUCAAGCGAUCCUCCUGCCUUGGCCUCCCGAAGUGCUGGGGUUACAGUUGUGAGCCACCGUGCCCAGCCUCGAAACCACCCUUUUAGAGUCAGGUUUCUUCAAAGCAGGAUCCCAGCAAGUUCCAGUGAUUACUUUUAGUAGGUCUGCCUCCAGCACUUCUUUUGGCCUCUAACAGCCUUUCCCUCUUCUAUUCAUAACAUUUAUUUAUUGAAGACACAGGACUUCUGUCUUAGAGAACUUCCCUCAUUCCAGAUUUGGCUGCCUGCUUCCUCACGGUGCCAUUUAUCACUUGCCUGCAUUUUGCAAGGGCCGUGUCUCAAUUUCCACUGUGGCCCUGGAUCCUAGUACAAUGCCUUGGCCCAGGAGGGGUGCCCAGUCAAUGGUGAAUAAGGAGUCACAUGAAUAUUCAUAAGGUACCUGGCAAUGCAUAGAGGGCUUUGGCCCACAUGCCGUUCGGCCAGGAGCUACAUUUUCUGUUUGCUUCUCCCUUGUGAUGCUGGAACUGGUUACUGAGCCAAAAGACUCUGAAUGCCAUGGUCAUUUCCAAAAUCCCCUUCUAACUGAGUGCUCCCAUUUUCUUUUCUUUUCUUUUCUUUUCUUUUCUUUUUUCUUUCUUUCUUUUUUUUUUUUUUUGAGACAGAGUCUUGCUCUGUCUCCCGGGCUGGAGUAUAGUGGCGCAAUCUCGGCUCACUGCAACCUCCGCCUCCCAGGUCAAGCGAUUCUCCUGCCUCAGCCUCCUGAGUAGCUGGGACUACAGGUGCCUGCCACCAUGCCCGGCUAAUUUUUUGUAGUUUUAGCAGAGAUGGGGUUUCAUCAUGUUGGCCAGGAUGGUCUCGAUCUCCUACCUCGUGAUCCACCCGCCUCAGGCCUCCCAAAAUGCUGGGAUUACAGGCGUGAGCCACCGUGCCCGGCCAGUACUCUCAUUUUCUAAGGGAUAAUAAGUUAAUAUUUAAAAUUAUAUUUUCUCUUUUUUUUCCUCUUUCCUCCUCUUCUCCUGUGCCCCACUUCCUACUUAGCUCUUUAGGAAUGCAGUUAUAACCUUUUACCUUCCCUUCACCAGACACUGCCUAUAGGGUAAGCUUAUCUAACUGUGUGCGUAUUUAAAAGCUCCAGAGUGGAAACCUUUCCCACCAGGAGUUUGCCUUGACAGACAAAAGCCAAUUUACAACCAAAAGUAUGCCUGCUACAAAACUCUCUCUCAUCUGAAGAGCACCUCGAGACAAGGCCACUUUACAACCUAGUUCUGCCUGCGAUGGCACCAACUUGACCACUUCUGGUAAGGCAGCCCUGUAGAUAAGGCACAUAUAGAUAAGGCACUGGAAGUUACGCAGACCCCCACCUGCUUGUUUCCUCCCCUGCAUACCACGCGUGCAAAAUCCCCUUCUAAAAACCCCUGCUUUCUCUUCCAAAAGAGAAGCCGUACCCUUAAGGCAGGAAGCCUGUGCUUCUUCCCCUGAGCUAGCUUUGGAACAAAGUCACUUUCUUUGUAGCAGAUCUCGGGAGCAACUGAACUUGCAACCCAGCUACACUCUCCCUCCCGCCCACGCCAAGGCAGGGGAAUGAGCAAAUAGGAACCUUCAGGGUAACUUCAGAGGAGGCGACUGCCCUGAGCAGGAGUUUCCACAGGAUCCUGGGUAUCUCUUGCCAAUGCCAGUGCAGAGGGGGAGUGAGGUUCUAACCAUGGGAAGGAGUCCGGGGUGGGCUGUCAGCACUGGCUGUCGGUGACAAGCCUAACAAAGAGGUGCCUAUGUUGACAUCCUUGUCUUCCACUGUUUGUUUUGGUGUCUUUUUAUUAGUCUAAUAACCAUUAGGUAGCUCAUUGUCCUAACCAAACACACAGAAAGCUGAAAGAAAACACCACCAACUUUGGGAAACUAUUGGAAACUGUGCUCAGAGGGAGUCCCAGCCCCCUCCCAAACUGCGCCCAAGAGCAGAGCAAGAUGCAAAGCCAGGGGAAGUAAGGAGGGAAGCAGGCUGGGAGGGAGGGGCUCCAGCCCCAGGGUUGGGGUGGAGGAGACGAGGCCCCCUUUGCCCAUAAGACUCUAGGCUCCUUCCAAGGAGGGCAAGAAGCCUUUUUUUUUUUUUUUUUUUUUUUUUAAACCCAGGGCCCAGGAAAGUUAUGCAAAGCAAUUACUCAACUUAGGCAGCCCAGGGAGGGACCACCAUCUUCCAACUGCUCCACCUCCCACUACGUUUGUCUUUGCCUCCUUUCCCUUCCCAUCAGGGUUCAUGACCAAGGAGACGCAAUUCUGUGAGCCUAAGUCUCUGCUGGUCUGGUCCUCUUGGCUCUCUUGAGAGACCCAAGUACAGGUGACUUCCCUGACUCUGGCUGGGCUCCGUAAGCUGUCUUGAGGCUACGCAGCGUCUAAGGCGUUAUCCUUAACCUCCAGCUCCCUCCGGCUUUGCUUUUCUCUCUCUUCUUGACUCUUCUGAAGUUUUUCCUUGUUCCUGUCUCUCUUCCUCCUGUCUGCUGCAGCCUCACACACCAGACAGUUCUCAAGAUGUCCUUCGGGGGAGCCUCCAGGAAGGGAAUGGCAAGGAACCUGAGGAACCAGCGUGAGGAAAACCUGGAUGAUCUGACGUCUUCCUCACUUUAUCCCUACCUGUCCACGCCUCCAUCCAUCCACCCAUCCAUCACUGAUCAAGCUCUCACUAUGUCUAUAGUGUAGAAGGUGCCACCAAAUGCAAUGGAACCUCUUGUCUCAUGUGUCUACUUGCAUCUUUAAGUUGAUACACGGAAGGCACAGUCCAAGCACAGGAUACUGGAAGCUAUGGAGGUACAGUGGCCUCUGAGCAAACUGAAAACUCUCUAUCACUAAAGGGUUGGGCAUACAGGGUAUCUCCUCUGCUCUGCCACCUACCUUGAGGAUGCUUUACAUGUGGCUAAAAGUGGAGGCAGAGAUAUUUGGAUAAAUAAAUGCUAGAGAAUUGGAAAUUCCUAGGACAAGUCAAUUUGGAUAUGUCUAUGUCAUCCUUUUUUUUCUAAGAGACACGUAACUCUGAUCCUUAAGGAGUUAGAGAGUUCCCAUAGCUUAGGGUCUGGAAGCCAUAUUCCUUUUUAUGUAACAUCCUUGAAUAUGCUACUCGUAUACCCUAAAUUUACUCUGUAAUUUUUUUUUUUUUAUUUGAGAGGGAGUCUCACUCUGCUGCC
rnacentral:lncRNA from 10 species